GAGGUUUAAUGGAGCUCUCUUCCCUCCUACUGUAAAGGAGGCGAAGGUAGGUAGGCCAUGGCUGCCAGUUCAUGAAUACCCCUGGGUGUGCAGGAUAAGCAGAGAGAGUGCGCAGGCUAAGGGUUUGCAUGACCUGGGAGACGUGGUUAUCUUGGCCAUUUUUAUAUUGGAGUGAAGGGAGCUCUGUUGUCUUU
rnacentral:pre_miRNA from 1 species